AAAAAUUUAGUUAAUUAAAUAACAUUAGUUUGUCAAACUAAAAUAACUUUAUAUAAAGUAAUUUUUA
rnacentral:tRNA from 1 species